UAGCAGAGGGUGCGAGCGUUGUCCGGAAUCACUGGGCGUAAAGGGCGCGUAGGUGGUGGCUUAAGCGUGCGGUGAAAUCCCCGGGCUCAACCUGGGACUUGCAGUUGAAACUGGUGAGCUAGAGUAGGGUAGAGGGGUGUGGAAUUCCAGGUGUAGCGGUGAAAUGCGUAGAUAUCUGGAGGAACACCGGUGGCGAAGGCGGCAUCCUGGACCGGUAUUGACGCUGAGGCGGCGAAAGCCAGGGGAGCCAACGGG
rnacentral:rRNA from 1 species